rnacentral:SRP_RNA from 1 species
CGUCAGGGACCGUGGAGGGUGAGCUUGCGAACCCCGCCAGGUCCGGAAGGAAGCAACGGCAGUAUGUCUUUCUCUGCCGCGGUUCCCUGAUCUUU